GGGUUGUGAGGUUAAGCGAACAAGCGUACACGGUGGAUGCCCUGGCAGUCAGAGGCGAUGAAGGACGUGCUAAUCUGCGAAAAGCGCCGGUAAGGUGAUAUGAACCGUUAUAACCGGCGAUGUCCGAAUGGGGAAACCCGGUGCACUUCGGUGCAUCAUCGUUAGCUGAAUACAUAGGCUAACGAGGCGAACCGGGGGAACUGAAACAUCUAAGUACCCCGAGGAAAAGAAAUCAACCGAGAUUCCCCCAGUAGCGGCGAGCGAACGGGGAACAGCCCAGAGCCUGAAUCAGCUUGUGUGUCAGUGGAACGGUCUGGAAAGGCCGGCGAUACAGGGUGACAGCCCCGUACACGAAGGCACACAGGCUGUGAGCUCGAUGAGUAGGGCGGGACACGUGAUAUCCUGUCUGAAGAUGGGGGGACCAUCCUCCAAGGCUAAAUACUCCUGACUGACCGAUAGUGAACCAGUACCGUGAGGGAAAGGCGAAAAGAACCCCGGCGAGGGGAGUGAAACAGAACCUGAAACCGUGUACGUACAAGCAGUGGGAGCCUUCGUAAGAGGGUGACUGCGUACCUUUUGUAUAAUGGGUCAGCGACUUAUAUUCUGUAGCAAGGUUAACCGUAUAGGGGAGCCGAAGGGAAACCGAGUCUUAACCGGGCGUUAAGUUGCAGGGUAUAGACCCGAAACCCGGUGAUCUAGCCAUGGGCAGGUUGAAGGUUGGGUAACACUAACUGGAGGACCGAACCGACUAAUGUUGAAAAAUUAGCGGAUGACCUGUGGCUGGGGGUGAAAGGCCAAUCAAACCGGGAGAUAGCUGGUUCUCCCCGAAAGCUAUUUAGGUAGCGCCUCGUGAACUCAUCUCCGGGGGUAGAGCACUGUUUCGGCUAGGGGGCCAUCCCGGCUUACCAACCCGAUGCAAACUGCGAAUACCGGAGAAUGUUAUCACGGGAGACACACGGCGGGUGCUAACGUCCGUCGUGAAGAGGGAAACAACCCAGACCGCCAGCUAAGGUCCCAAAGUCAUGGUUAAGUGGGAAACGAUGUGGGAAGGCCCAGACAGCCAGGAUGUUGGCUUAGAAGCAGCCAUCAUUUAAAGAAAGCGUAAUAGCUCACUGGUCGAGUCGGCCUGCGCGGAAGAUGUAACGGGGCUAAACCAUGCACCGAAGCUGCGGCAGCGACACUAUGUGUUGUUGGGUAGGGGAGCGUUCUGUAAGCCUGUGAAGGUGUGCUGUGAGGCAUGCUGGAGGUAUCAGAAGUGCGAAUGCUGACAUAAGUAACGAUAAAGCGGGUGAAAAGCCCGCUCGCCGGAAGACCAAGGGUUCCUGUCCAACGUUAAUCGGGGCAGGGUGAGUCGACCCCUAAGGCGAGGCCGAAAGGCGUAGUCGAUGGGAAACAGGUUAAUAUUCCUGUACUUGGUGUUACUGCGAAGGGGGGACGGAGAAGGCUAUGUCGGCCGGGCGACGGUUGUCCCGGUUUAAGCGUGUAGGCUGACUUUCCAGGCAAAUCCGGAAGGUUAAGGCUGAGGCGUGAUGACGAGGCACCACGGUGCUGAAGUGACAAAUGCCCUGCUUCCAGGAAAAGCCUCUAAGCAUCAGGUAACAUCAAAUCGUACCCCAAACCGACACAGGUGGUCAGGUAGAGAAUACCAAGGCGCUUGAGAGAACUCGGGUGAAGGAACUAGGCAAAAUGGUGCCGUAACUUCGGGAGAAGGCACGCUGACAUGUAGGUGAAGCCCCUGCGGGUGGAGCUGAAGUCAGUCGAAGAUACCAGCUGGCUGCAACUGUUUAUUAAAAACACAGCACUGUGCAAACACGAAAGUGGACGUAUACGGUGUGACGCCUGCCCGGUGCCGGAAGGUUAAUUGAUGGGGUUAUCGCAAGAGAAGCUCCUGAUCGAAGCCCCGGUAAACGGCGGCCGUAACUAUAACGGUCCUAAGGUAGCGAAAUUCCUUGUCGGGUAAGUUCCGACCUGCACGAAUGGCGUAAUGAUGGCCAGGCUGUCUCCACCCGAGACUCAGUGAAAUUGAACUCGCUGUGAAGAUGCAGUGUACCCGCGGCAAGACGGAAAGACCCCGUGAACCUUUACUACAGCUUGACACUGAACAUUGAGCCUUGAUGUGUAGGAUAGGUGGGAGGCUUUGAAGCGUGGACGCCAGUCUGCGUGGAGCCGACCUUGAAAUACCACCCUUUAAUGUUUGAUGUUCUAACCUGGCGCCGUGAUCCGGCGUGGGGACAGUGUCUGGUGGGUAGUUUGACUGGGGCGGUCUCCUCCCAAAGUGUAACGGAGGAGCACGAAGGUCAGCUAAUCCUGGUCGGACAUCAGGAGGUUAGUGCAAUGGCAUAAGCUGGCUUGACUGCGAGAGUGACGGCUCGAGCAGGUGCGAAAGCAGGUCAUAGUGAUCCGGUGGUUCUGUAUGGAAGGGCCAUCGCUCAACGGAUAAAAGGUACUCCGGGGAUAACAGGCUGAUACCGCCCAAGAGUUCAUAUCGACGGCGGUGUUUGGCACCUCGAUGUCGGCUCAUCACAUCCUGGGGCUGAAGUAGGUCCCAAGGGUAUGGCUGUUCGCCAUUUAAAGUGGUACGCGAGCUGGGUUUAGAACGUCGUGAGACAGUUCGGUCCCUAUCUGCCGUGGGCGCUGGAGAAUUGAGGGGGGCUGCUCCCAGUACGAGAGGACCGGAGUGGACGCAUCACUGGUGUUCGGGUUGUCAUGCCAAUGGCACUGCCCGGUAGCUAAAUGCGGAAGAGAUAAGUGCUGAAAGCAUCUAAGCACGAAACUUGCCCCGAGAUGAGUUCUCCCUGAGACUGUAAGUCUCCUGAAGGAACGUUGAAGACGACGACGUUGAUAGGCCGGGUGUGUAAGCGCAGCGAUGCGUUGAGCUAACCGGUACUAAUGAACCGUGAGGCUUAACCUUACAACGCCAAAGAAGU
rnacentral:rRNA from 1 species